GUAGGUGGCAAGCGUUGUCCGGAAUUAUUGGGCGUAAAGCGCGCGCAGGCGGUUCUUUAAGUCUGAUGUGAAAGCCCACGGCUCAACCGUGGAGGGUCAUUGGAAACUGGAGAACUUGAGUACAGAAGAGGAAAGCGGAAUUCCACGUGUAGCGGUGAAAUGCGUAGAGAUGUGGAGGAACACCAGUGGCGAAGGCGGCUUUUCUGGUCUGUAACUGACGCUGAGGCGCGAAAGCGUGGGGAGCAAACAGGGAUUAGAUACCCUGGUAGUCCACGCCGUAAACGAUGAGUGCUAAGUGUUAGGGGGGUUUCCGCCCCCUUAGUGCUGCAGCUAACGCAUUAAGCACUCCGCCUGGGGAUACGGCCGCAAGGCUG
rnacentral:rRNA from 1 species